AGCCGUGUGGUGUGCACAAAGCGAACUAUUCUUUCGCCUUUUACUAAAGAAUACCGUGUGCUCGCCACUGAAAGCGGCAUACGCCAAUUUUUGAGCAGGGGCCAUCUCCUAAGGGAUGU
rnacentral:snRNA from 1 species